rnacentral:misc_RNA from 1 species
UUGGAGGGCAAGUCUGGUGCCAGCAGCCGCGGUAAUUCCAGCUCCAAUAGCGUAUAUUAAAGUUGUUGCAGUUAAAAAGCUCGUAGUUGAAUUUCGGGGUUAGUAGGUUGGUCAUGCCUCUGGUAUGUACUGGUCUCACUGAUUCCUCCUUCCUGACGAACCGUAAUGCCAUUAAUUUGGUGUUGCGGGAAAUUUGGACUGUUACUUUGAAAAAAUUAGAGUGUUUAAAGCAAGCUAACGCUUGAAUACAUUAGCAUGGAAUAAUGAAAUAGGACGUUCGAUCCUAUUUUGUUGGUUUCUAGGAUUGACGUAAUGAUUAAUAGGGAUAGUUGGG